rnacentral:rRNA from 1 species
UUGGAGGGCAAGUCUGGUGCCAGCAGCCGCGGUAAUUCCAGCUCCAAUAGCGUAUAUUAAAGUUGUUGCAGUUAAAAAGCUCGUAGUUGGAUUUCGGGAUCAGCAGGUUGGUCGUGCCAAUGGUAUGCACUGGCCUUGCUGAUUCCUCCCUCUUGAUGAGCCGUAAUGCCAUUAAUUUGGUGUUGCGGGGAAUCAGGACUGUUACUUUGAAAAAAUUAGAGUGUUUAAAGCAAGCUUACGCUUGAAUACAUUAGCAUGGAAUAAUGAAAUAGGACAUCAGAUUCUAUUUUGUUGGUUUCUAGGAUCGAUGUAAUGAUUAAUAGGGAUAGUUGGGGGCAUUAGUAUUCAAUUGUCAGAGGUGAAAUUCUUGGAUUUAUUGAAGACUAACUACUGCGAAAGCAUUUGCCAAGGAUGUUUUCAUUAAUCAAGAACGAAAGUUAGGGGAUCGAAGACGAUCAGAUACCGUCGUAGUCUUAACCAUAAACUAUGCCGACUAGGGAUCGGAUGAUGUUAAUUUUUUAAUGACUCAUUCGGCACCUUACGGGAAAC